UUUCCGUUGGUGAACCAGCGGAAGGAUCAUUACAGAGAUCAUGCCCUCACGGGUAGACCUCCCACCCUGUGUUAUUUACGAUUGUUGCUUUGGCAGGCCGCCUUCGGGUGCUCUGCUUCGGCUGAGGUGCGCCUGCCAGAGGACCCCCAACUCUGUGUUUAGUGUUGUCUGGGUCUUAUUUAAUACGUUAAAACUUUCGACUACGGAUCUCUUGGUUCUGGCAUCGAUGAAGAACGCAGC
rnacentral:misc_RNA from 1 species